rnacentral:rRNA from 1 species
GGAAUCUUGCGCAAUGGGCGAAAGCCUGACGCAGCAACGCCGCGUGCGGGAAGAAGGCUUUCGGGCUGUAAACCGCUUUCAGUAGGAACGAAACUGACGGUACCUACAGAAGAAGGAGCGGCCAACUAUGUGCCAGCAGCCGCGGUGACACAUAGGCUCCAAGCGUUGUCCGGAUUUAUUGGGCGUAAAGAGCUCGUAGGCGGUUGAGUAAGUCGGGUGUGAAAACUUUGGGCUUAACCCAAAGAUGCCACUCGAUACUGCUUUGACUUGAGUUCGGUAGGGGAGUGGGGAAUUCCUUGUGUAGCGGUGAAAUGCGCAGAUAUAAGGAGGAACACCGGUGGCGAAGGCGCCACUCUGGGCCGAUACUGACGCUGAGGAGCGAAAGCGUGGGGAGCAAACAGGAUUAGAUACCCUGGUAGUCCACGCGGUAAACGGUGGUCACUAGGUGUGGGUCUCUACCAAUGAGAUCUGCGCCGUCGCUAACGCAUUAAGUGACCCGCCUGGGGAGUACGGUCGCAAGACUAAAACUCAAAUGAAUUGACGG